UACGGAGGGUGCGAGCGUUGUUCGGAAUCACUGGGCGUAAAGCGCGUGUAGGCGGCCUGCUAAGUCUGAUGUGAAAGCCCGGGGCUCACCCCCGGAAGUGCAUUGGAAACUGGCUCGCUCGAGUCUCGGAGAGGAGAGUGGAAUUCCUGGUGUAGCGGUGAAAUGCGUAGAUAUCAGGAGGAACACCGGUGGCGAAGGCGGCUCUCUGGACGAUGACUGACGCUGAGACGCGAAAGCGUGGGGAGCAAACAGG
rnacentral:rRNA from 1 species